rnacentral:misc_RNA from 1 species
UUUCCGUAGGUGAACCUGCGGAAGGAUCAUUAUUGUAUAACCGAGGUGCGAGGGCUGUCGCUGACCCGAAAGGUCGUGCACGCCCGAGUGCCCUCACACACAUCCAACUCACCCCUAUGUGCACCACCGCGUGGGUCACCCUUGGGCUUGUUCGGAGGGGGGCUUACGUUUUCACACAAACUUUGUAUGCAGUGUAGAGUGUAUUUUUUGUUUUUGCGAUCACGCAAUCAAUACAACUUUCAACAACGGAUCUCUUGGCUCUC